rnacentral:rRNA from 1 species
GAGUUUGAUCUUGGCUCAGAACGAACGCUGGCGGCGUGGAUAAGACAUGCAAGUCGAGCGAGAUAUUUCGGGUAGCAAUAUUCGGAAUGUCUAGCGGCGCAAGGGUGCGUAACACGUGGGUAAUCUACCUUGAAGCCCGGAAUAACUCCGAGAAAUCGGAGCUAAUACCGGAUGUGAUGUUUGGAUGGCAUCGUUUGAACAUCAAAGUUGGGGACCGUAAGGCCUGACACUUUCUAGAUGAGCCCCGCGGCCUAUCAGCUAGUUGGUGAGGUAACGGCUCACCAAGGCUAAGACGGGUAGCUGGUCUGAGAGGACGACCAGCCACACUGGAACUGAGACACGGUCCAGACACCUACGGGUGGCAGCAGUCGAGAAUUUUUCACAAUGGGCGAAAGCCUGAUGGAGCGACGCCGCUGGGGGAUGAAUGGCCUCGGCCCGUAAACCCCUGUCAUUUGCGAACAAAACCUUCCGGCCUAACACGUCGGGAGCUGAUUGUA